rnacentral:rRNA from 1 species
AUACCGCAUACGUCCUACGGGAGAAAGCAGGGGACCUUCGGGCCUUGCGCUAUCAGAUGAGCCUAGGUCGGAUUAGCUAGUUGGUGGGGUAAUGGCUCACCAAGGCGACGAUCCGUAACUGGUCUGAGAGGAUGAUCAGUCACACUGGAACUGAGACACGGUCCAGACUCCUACGGGAGGCAGCAGUGGGGAAUAUUGGACAAUGGGCGAAAGCCUGAUCCAGCCAUGCCGCGUGUGUGAAGAAGGUCUUCGGAUUGUAAAGCACUUUAAGUUGGGAGGAAGGGCAGUAAGUUAAUACCUUGCUGUUUUGACGUUUCUUUAUUUAAUAAGCACCGGCUAACUCUGUGCCAGCAGCCGCGGUAAUACAGAGGGUGCAAGCGUUAAUCGGAAUUACUGGGCGUAAAGCGCGCGUAGGUGGUUUGUUAAGUUGGAUGUGAAAGCCCCGGGCUCAACCUGGGAACUGCAUCCAAAACUGGCAAGCUAGAGUAC